UUCGAGCAUUAUCUGGUGUGUCUUUGCCUAACGUGAGCUCUUCCAGCUGCAAGGCUCGUUGACGUAAAAGAGCAAAUCCAAACUAAAGCAAAGCACAAGUGCAUCCAGUUCACGAGCAACCCUGGGAUGUUCAGCCCCAUAAGCAUUUUCAGAGAUUUCCAGAGCCUGCUUAUAUAACUGCUCAGCAUUUCCAAACUUCUUCCACUGCACAUAUACUCCUGCUAACUGAUGGAGGGACUGUGCUACCCUGGGGUGAUCAGGAUCCAGUGCAGUCUCCCGAAUUUCCAGAGAACGCUGCAGAGGAGCAACUGCCUGUAAUAAAGGAGUUGAGAAUGUGACUAGAACAGAAACUCAUCCAGAGGAAAGGGAACAUGUUUCUUCCAAAAGUUUCCAUUGCAUUGUUGGCUUACCUCUCUCAUAAGGUGUUUGUCUUUAUCGUUCAGCAU